AGAGUUUGAUCCUGGCUCAGAGUGAACGCUGGCGGCAUGCCUAACACAUGCAAGUCGAACGGGUUCCGACAAUUCAUCGUCGGGAUUAGUGGCAGACGGGUGAGUAAUACGUGGACAAUCUUCCUUUAAGAGGGGGCGAACCCCGGGAAACCGGGGCUAAUACCGCGUGAGACCACGUCCUCGCAUGAGGAUGAGGUUAAAGCUCCGCAAGGGGCGCUUAAAGAGGAGUCCACGGCCUAUCAGCUAGUUGGUGAGGUAACGGCCCACCAAGGCUACGACGGGGUAAGCGGUCUGAAAGGGACGACCGCUCACAAUGGCACUGAAAACACGGGCCAUUACUCCUACGGGGAGGGCAGCAGUGGGGGAAUUUUGGGGCAAUGGGGGAAAACCCCUGGACCAACGAUGCCCCGUUGGAAGAACAAAGGCCUUCGGAUUUGAAACUCCCUUUUUGUAGGGGAAAAAUAAGCGGGUGAAUAACCCCGUCCUUGAUUGGUACCCCUGGGAAUAAACCCCGGCUAAAUUCCUUGCCCACAACCCCGGGUAAAACGAAAGGGGGGGAGCGGUUCUCCGAAUUUACUAAGCGUAAAACGUGGGGAGGGGGGUUUGGGAAAUCUGGUUGUUGAAAGCUCCCCCGGCUUAACCCGGGAGAAGGCCAAUGGGAUACUGGCCCAAACUUGAAUGGUGGGGAGAGGGUGACUGGGAAUUUCCCCCGUGUGAGCGGUGAAAUGGCGUUAAAGAUCGGGGAGGGAACAACACAUGGGCGAAAGCAGGUCACCUGGGGAUCCACUAUUGUACACUCAUCCAACGAAAAGCUGGGGGAUCAAAACAAGGAUUAGAUACCCUGGUACGUCCCAGCCGUAAACGAUGCUCAUAGGGUGUGGGAGGUUAUCGACCCCUUCCGCGCCGACGUAUAACGCAAUAAAAUGAGCCGCUGGGGAGUACGCCCGCAAGGUUGAAACUCAAAGAAAUUGACGGGGGGCCCCGCACAAGCGGUGGAUCAUGUGUUUUAAUUGGACGAAACGCGAAAAACCUUUCCUGGGCUGGAAGUGUUGGUAGUAGAAUCCUGGAACCAGGGAGACGACCCGUCAAGUCGGUUCCCAGCAGAGGUGCUCCCAUGCCUGUCGUCCAGCUCGUGUCGUAAGAUGUUGGGUUAAGUCCCCCAACGAGCCCCAACCCCUUUUCCCAUGUUGCUUAAUCCCGCAAGGGGAUCCAUUCUUGGGAGGACUGCCUUCGGAUAACGGGGAGGAAGGUGGGGACGACGUCAAGUCAUCAUGGCCUUUUAUGUCCAGGGCUACACACGUGAUACAAUGGCCGGCACAGAAGGACGCAAUACCGCAAGGUGGAGCAAAUCCCUAAAGCCGGCCCCAGUUCAGAUUGUGGGCUGCAAUUCGCCCACAUGAAGGCGGAAUCGCUAGUAAUCGCAGAUCAGCAGGCUGCGGUGAAUACGUUCCCGGGCCUUGUACACACCGCCCGUCACACCACGAAAGCCCGUUGCAACAGAAGUCCUGGCUCUGCCAGGCCCAAGUUGUGACUGGUGAUUGGGGUGAAGUCGUAACAAGGUAACC
rnacentral:rRNA from 1 species